GGCGGCAUAGCCAAGUGGUAAUGCAGAGGUCUGCAAAACCUUUAUCACCGGUUCAAAUCCGGUUGCCGCCUCCA
rnacentral:tRNA from 1 species